rnacentral:snoRNA from 1 species
UCUUAUGAUGAUUAUCCUUGAAUCUCGUUCGUCUGAACUCCUGUUGAAAUAUACCACUAUCUGAUUAUG